CUGCCAAGUGGCUACCAAAGCUCUGUCCGUGUAACUCCAGGCAUAGGGAACUUACUGCCGAUGAUGGAGUACACACACUAUUUUGGAUCACUUUUAGUGUCCUGCUGAUGACAUUAUUAAGGUGUGGGCGGCACCUUCCUUCCCUACAGGGAAGCUCUUGCAACUCUUGAGGAGUUGGAAAAAAAACCACAAGGUCAAGGAACUGGUAAGCAAGCUGAUACAGCCUGCUGGGAUACAGGACAGCUGGCAUCAGAAGGCCCAGCUAGAAGAAACAAGAGACAGAAUUAACUACAAAGCGAUGGCUGUUCUCAAACAAACAAGAAAACAACAGCAAAGCAACCAUCUGGGUUUCCCAGGAUGUUCAGGCUCUGUGACUAAUUAAAGUGGUUCCUCUGCCUAGAUGAGGUCGGAUGCCGCAUCUCCUUCCCACAUCCAAGAGCUAACAUGAGGAUUACUCUGCUCACCACCAGCCCUUGUGAGGGGCAGUGGCCUAAAGUUUAAACACCGAUGUAGGAGAAGGAAAAAGAAAAGAAACACAAGUUUUGGAUGGAGGUUGGGAGACAAGAGCAUUCAGAGAAAACCAAUGCCUGCCAUAUGGAUUCUGUUGGUUACAUGAGCCAAGUGUAACCUCAUGGACCAAAUCCAGUCUGAGUAGAAGGACGAGGGGGAGGAGAAUGUUGAUGACGGUGAUGGCUUCUCUGCAUUGUGCAAAAGAGAGAUGAUAUUUUUUUUUAUUAAAAUUUUUUUUUACACUUUAUUUUUGAGAGAGAGAGAGAGAGACAAAGCACAAGUGGGGGAGGGGCAGAGAGAGAGAGAGAGAGAGAGAGAGAGAGAGAGAGAGAGAGUCCAAAGCAGGCUCCAGGCUCUGAGCUGUCAGCACAGAGCCCAAUGUGGGGCUCGAACUCACAAACCGUGAGAUCAUGACCUGAGCUGAAGUCGGACACUUAACCAACUGAGCCAACCAGGUGCUCUGAGAGAUGAUAUACUUUUUAGUGUUUAUUUUCGAGAGAGCAUGAGAGAGAGUAGGGAAGGGGGAGAGAGGGUGGGGUCAGAGGAUCCAAAGCAGGCUCUACACUGGCAGCACAGAGCCUGGUGAGGGGCUCGAAGUUACCAACCACGAGAUCAUGACCUGAGCCGAAGUCAGAUGCUCAACCAACUGAGCCACCCAGAUGCCCCAAGAGAGGUGACAGUUUUAAAAGGAGGCAUCUCAUGUAAAAUUUAGAUUUAUAGUAUCUCUUGAAAACCUGCAAGAUCUAGAAGCUUUGGCCCACAUUUCCUUGUACAAUCCCUAACGUCUGGGAAGGAUCUGCCUCCGCCACAGCUCAGAAGAAUCACACUCCAUUGGUGGAGAACCACCUCCACCAAUCUUUACCUGCUUCCUUAAAAGAAGCCAAAAGUCAAUCGCCACUUGCCGACCACUAAAACAGAACAAAACAGAAAGCAUACAACAGAGCGUUUCUGGGACAAUAUUAAUUGCACUUCCUGUCUUUGGAAUACUGACAGUGGUUACCUAACAAUAUGGAUUCAUGCAGGAUACUGAAACACUCAUCCUACCCCACUUCCUGGCCAAGGUGGGGGAGAGAGAGAGUUUUCUACAGUAUUCAAGGACCUUCCUCAUAUUCCUCACCCUCACUUUUCCAGAUUCAUCCUCUAAUACACACUGUCCCUCCUUCUAUAAAUCCCCUUUUUCCCCCUGUAAAUCAGUCUGGCAAGUUGCCUUGGCCACAUACUUUUAUAGAACCAAGCCUCUGUAAUAAUAUGGCCUGCUACACAGAACUCAUUCUUCCAUUCUUUCCUGCCUUCCUUCCUUUCUUCCUUCUUUCCUCCCAAUUCAACCUUGAUGGCCCGAUCAAAUCUUGCAUUUUCUGCGAUGCCUUCCCCAGGACCCCAGGCAGAAUGAACUACACCAUCACCCAUGUUCUAGAAUCACCUUAGCAAGGUGCAAUCAUUCUGUUAAGUGUGGCUACCCGUCUGGAAGGGAGGUUGGCUCAGGCAAAGCAGUCUGCCAUUCAUUCUUGUUCAGCCAGUGACUGUGAAGCAGUGACUAGACAGACAGAGUUCCCCACAAUGCUUCCUGGGACAAUGACUGGCUGAAACGGCUGCCUUUGGGGGGACAUGUGAGUAAAGCUGUGAGGGUACACGAGUCUCCAGACAACUGAGGGCUGCCUGUAUCUCUAAGGUUGUCUCAAGUGGCCCAGGGGCAUUCCUGGCACAGUAGCAAAAGCCUGAGUCUCAAAGUUGGAGAGGCUGGGCUGGGAUGUUGGUUAUGACACCCUUUUGAACAUGUGAUCUAGGAUGAGAUCCUCAGCCCCGAGCCCUCGUCUACUUGGGAGUAAAAUAAGGCAAUAUCUGUGCCUCCUCUCAGGCAGGCUGUUGCCUUGAAGUGACUGGCCAUGCACGGGCACUCCUGGCAGGUGGAAGGUGUACAAAAAGGUCCAAUGUAUUUUUUUUCCUUCAGAAGGUCUUUUGUAGACCCAUGUAAAACUAUUUUAUAAUCAUCUCUAUCCCAUGUCAAGCUUCCCUCCUCCAGGCCUCACAGGUACCCACAAUGGUGCUUCAGGUGGAGCUUUCUCUCACCUCACACGAUGGCUUGCAGAAAGGCCCCAUCCUUCAACAAGCAGCUACAGACCGGCUUCUCUGGCAGCCUCCCACCUUCUCCAGCACUCAUCAUGACCCACCCGUCCACAGCCCCAAAAGACCAGCGCUGAUUUGUCCCAGGACAGUAGAGACCUGGCUGGUCAUCCCACCCAGGUAAGGUCAAUUUUAUCUCCUCUACCUCAUCCUCGAUCAUUUUGGUUUCCUGUCUUUCUCACAGGACCGGGCAGAGAGCAGAGGCUCAGCAAGCACUGGAGAAUCACUAUGGUGACUACAGGACAAGAUGGAGAUUCAGGGAUGUUUUGUGCCUUGUCUGAGUUUAAACUGAAAAAUGUGUGUUUUGUCAGUUACCAAGAGCCAGUUUUCCCUUCCACGUGACCCUAGAAUCUUCUAGAUCAUCAAGAAUGACCACUCCAGGGCAACAACUGAACCACAGUGGAUAAACUCCACUCACUACCAGGCAUGCAUUCAAAUCCCAUCCAACGCAGGGGAGACUAGCAUGGAAGGGCUUCCCCUGGCAUGGACCUCAAAGAUAAAUCCCAUGAGAUGCUACAUAAUGCUUAUGGUCCUGAUGCUGGGGACAGACGGAUGAGUUCCCACCAGAGGAGAGGCUGGAAGCAUCGAGCUGAUUAUCAGGGGAGGGGGCAAGAUCUUCCAGUGGACAGCUUCCACAAACUGUGGGUAGGAUGUACUGAGCCAUCAACCAGCUGCUCCCCAACUUUUAGUGACUUCCUUUGUCUUCUCGGGGGCGGGGGGACCAGUCCAACCAGGAAGGUCACAUCCUGAGAUGAGAAGCUACAGCCCCUACCCAUCUUAUGGACUAGUUUUGGUUAAUACGUGUAAAUGAGCUGAUGCAGGGAAGUUCUUACAAGAAUGAUGAGUGCCUAGUAAGCAUGACUGCUCACCAUGGUACCACUAUUCCCUUGCUGUCUGACACUUUUCCUUGCCAUCUGGCUCUCCUCUUGCAAAAGCACCAGAUCAUGGUAGUUAGGAGCUCACACUGAGCCACACUGCCCAAAUUAAAACCCUACUUUUUACCAACUGCUGCCUGUGUCUUCUUGUGCAAAUUACCUAACCUCUCUGUGCCUAAGACUCAUUUUCUGUAAAAUCAGAAU